rnacentral:misc_RNA from 1 species
GCUACGAUUCUAGAAAUGGAAGAUGAAGAAGAUCCACCACUCGCUGUUGAGAUCAGCUCAACGAUUACGGCUGCCGAGCGGCUUGAAGACGAUGGUGUUUCUGUUGGCGUUACAGUUAUCACUGGAUAUCUUGGAGCUGGAAAAUCCACCCUGGUUAAUUACAUAUUGAACUCGCAACACGGCAAGAGAAUCGCUGUUAUACUGAAUGAGUUUGGGGAGGAAAUUGGAGUUGAGAGAGCGAUGAUAAAUGAAGGUGAUGGUGGGGCAUUGGUUGAGGAAUGGGUCGAAUUAGCAAACGGAUGUAUUUGUUGCACUGUCAAGCAUAACCUGGUUCAAGCCUUGGAGCAACUUGUGCAGAGAAAAGAAAGGCUUGAUCAUAUUUUGUUGGAAACUACGGGGUUAGCCAAUCCUGCUCCACUUGCUUCGGUACUUUGGCUGGACGAUCAAUUGGAAUCGUCGAUCAAGCUUGAUUCAAUUAUUACCGUUGUGGAUGCAAAAAAUCUCCAUUUUCAAUUAAAUGAGCACAAAAGUUCAUCGUCCUUUCCCGAAGCAUUUCAUCAAAUUGCGUUUGCGGAUACUAUUAUUCUUAACAAGGUCGACCUGGUCUCUUCAGAACUUGGCGAUGGUGCACUGGAGGACCUGGAGUAUGAAAUACAUAAUAUUAAUUCCCUUGCCAAAAUAGUUCACUCUGUUCGGUGUCAAGUUGACCUGUCUCUCAUACUAAACUGCAAUUCCUAUAAUGCUGCUAAUACAGCUCAUUUGGAAGCAUUGUUGAAAGAAAGUCGUUCUUUAUCUACUAGAGAUCU